ensembl:lncRNA
UUCCGCGUGGCGAUGACAAGCGCGACUAACAGAGAAGCGACAAGCCUGUGACAUACAUUUAAAUUUUUUUGGUCAAUGGGAUUUUGGAAUUGCUCCAGGGGUAAAAUAUAUUUGAAGUCACGGCACAGGUUUUUGCAGGUGUGGACGUGUGGUGUUCUGUGAAAAUGUGUGGGAGUAUUGUAUGCAUACGGUAAUGCGUGGUACGGAUGAAUUACGGAACGAGGCUUGCGGGACGGGUACUGAGAUGUAUAUUUCUGCCUUCGCCUGGCAUGGAGCACCCUGGGUACAGAGCCACCUCAUCAUCUAAAAGGCAUGUCUCAACUGAAGUGAUGCUAUACACACGCCGGUUAAAACGGGUGCAUUUAUGCAGGCUCCCCGGGAUGGAUCCUCGUUUCUUUACUAAAAUGCCUUUCAAACAAUCCGAUCAGCCCUUGAAAAAGAGAUCUGAUUUGAAAAGAUCAGAUAGGCAUGGUCAAAAGACUAACAGUGGAAGGAAAAAUAAGUUUAAUUUGGAUUGUCAGUUUUGUUCAGUAGCUUGAAUACUUUAUCAUACAGGUAAAUCCAAAUGAUGAGUCACACAGAUUACAAUGAACAGCCAAGGCACCUUCUGUGAUAAAGACAGAAGCAACAAAUUACUCACUAAUGGAAAUUCAAUGGAAGUGGAUUCAAGUUUCCUUGACUUGGUCCAUAGAAAUUGCAUAAUCUUGAUAGCCCGCCUCCUUAUGCAAGACACAAACAAAGGAGUCACCGCCCCCUAAUGCUUAAAAGAAGCUCCGAAGGGAACAGAAUUAUAAACGUUUUUCUCUGUCAGACAAACACUGACAGAAAGUUGUAUCAUCAGAUUGUUAGUUUCUUGACUGAGAAUCUCGACAAGGAAGCUGCCAUCAUGUGUCCAUCUUGUGUCCAUCCACACCCCAGCCAAGCAGACAUGGGACUAACGAGUGAAGACAUGGAGUGCUGCGUCUGCCUCCAGUCCUACUCACGCAGGGACAAGAUCCCUCGGAUGCUCCACUGCAAGCACACCUUCUGUGGGCAGUGUCUCCAGACGAUAUCCAGGCUCCAGAGCGGCCUGCUGAUGGUGUGCUGCCCACUGUGUCGCUGGAUCACAUGUACCAGGGCCAGUCUCCCCGUCGCUGGAUCCCUGUGGAUAAACACCGACAUCUGGGACAGGAUAACAGAAAGAACAGAGGAGGAGCAUGAGGAGGAAGCAGAGUUGAUGAGAGCGGAUAAACAAACACAGACCUCUACCCAGAAUGAAUGCUCAUCUUCUGGUCACUGUGGCCUAAGGAUCAAACUAAAGAGUUUCUUGAGAAGAAGGCCCAAGGGAGGUAAACUAAGAAGAUGAAAAGAAGACACAGAGAACACAGCGUGAAGACCAAGAAAAGUCUUCUUGAAGACUAGAGAAGGGGAUGAUCAGAGAUCAAGAAUAGGCCAAACUUCAAGAUGCAGUCAAGGACUUUUUUUAUAACCUCCCAUGUUGGGUCACAAUAAUACCUUUUGUGAAGAAAUUAAUAAAUGUAAAUAAAUGUUUUAAGCAGGUGAUAAUGCCUUAGGCUUUACAAUCAAUCGAUUUGUAUUGUUUAUUUAUUUAUGUGCUAACAAUUUCGAACUGUGAACAAUUUAUUGAGUACAAUGACUGAUGUUGAAUUUGUACUGCACUGUGUGAUUUUACUAUGAUGUUUACCAGGUCAUGUGUUAACUGAAGUAGAAUUUGUUUAUAUUAAUGUUGUGCCUUUUUUCAGGGAAUGAUUUAUACAUAACCUGUAUUUAC